UACGGAGGAUGCGAGCGUUAUCCGGAUUUAUUGGGUUUAAAGGGUGCGUAGGCGGAUCGUUAAGUCAGUGGUCAAAUUGAGGGGCUCAACCAUUGUAUGCAUUGGAAACUGGUAGACUUGAGUGCAGGAGAGGAGAGUGGAAUUCCAUGUGUAGCGGUGAAAUGCGUAGAUAUAUGGAGGAACACCGGUGGCGAAAGCGGCUCUCUGGCCUGUAACUGACACUGAGGCUCGAAAGCGUGGGGAGCAAACAGG
rnacentral:rRNA from 1 species